CUUAACCAACUGAGCCACCCAGGUGCCCCAGUUCCUUCUUUCUUUAUUUCAGGAUUUAAAAAUAAUCCUAGUUCCAAACUUCAGUGUGGAUACCAGGUUAAAAAAAAAGACCAGGGAAAUGACCAUUUAAUGCAUUUUUUAAAUGUAUUAUCAAUUGUCAAAAUUGAAUAGGUUGAAUGUUCAUUUAAUGUAAACAGAUUUUUGGGUCAUAAAUGAGCUAUUGUACUCUUUAACAGAAAUUGUGAAGUAUCAUGAAUUAAACAGGAAAUUCUAACUUUUUAAAGUUUUUAAUCCUGUGAAUUCAUUAUGCAGAAUAAAAUGAUUAUUGUAAUUUCAUUGGAUUACUGUUUUGGUAUUUAUCAGGAACUAUAGGUUUUUACUAAUAAUUUGUUUUGAUGGCAAACUUAAUUUUGUUUUUUCCUCUCUUAGAGCCUUGAGAAAAUCGAGAUAAGAAUUUAAGCUUUAGUUUCUUCGUGCUAUUUUCUCAGUACUAGUGUUUGAUGUGGGUUUUUUUAUGUUUAUUUUGAGCGAGAGAGAGUGCAAGUGGGGGAGGGACAGAGAGAGGGAGACACAGAGUCUGAAGUGGGCUCCAGGAUCCCAGCUGUCACCACAGAGCCCAAUGUGAGGGUAGAACCCACGAACCGCGAGACCAUGACCUGAGCCAAAGUUGGGACACUCAGCCAACUGAGCCACCUAGGCACCACUUGAUGUGCAUUUUAACUCAACUAGGGAUAAAUAUGGUGACUUCUGAUGUCUAAUUGACUAGUUAACUCUUAAAAAAUCUUUCUCUUUCCUCUUUGGAGCCUAAGUGACAAUGUGGAGGGAGUUAACCAUCCCUUAAUAUAAGAGAUCAGGAGGAGGAACAUAUCACCAGAGUAGAGGGAAUGAAAUGAGUGUAAUUUUACAUAGAAAUGGUUAGGAAACAAGGCUGAGGUUUGGAGUUAGUACUUUGCCAUGACCUGGCUCUUAGUGAAAUGUGAAGAUGAAAAAACACUCUUUGAGGUAUCAAGUGGCUUAAGCUUAGAGAAGAAGCCAGAUAUUGCCAGGCAGGGUGUGUGUCACAAGGGAGUUUAAACCAAGGUUUUGAGUCUGAGAUGGAGGGAGCUGUUAAUGCCAGGGAAGAAUGAGAAGCGAAUGUGAUGCAAAUGGGGGCAAUGCAUUCUGUAUGGGCUCCAUAGAAUGUGGUGUUUCUUUGGUGCUGUUGAGAGCCAGGGUGGCUGCCUGACACUCAGCAAGCCCUCAAAGGCUGGUGUUCAUCACUGUGAAUGCAGUAGUGGUAGCGGUGAGAAGAGUGAACUCAGGGCAUGAGAGCUCUCACAAUGGGCCAGUAGAAGUUUGCAUUUUGGGGACAGAUGAGAGAAUUAAUCCCUAUUAGAGGAGUCUGUUCUAGAGCUUACAUGUGUUAUCCACCUGUAAUUGGGUGCUUCAUGUGUGUUGAAUAAUAUUCCUGUAAGGUUGGAGGGUAACAUUCUCAUGUUGGGAUGAAAAAAGUUCGUCUUCUACGAAUUGUCAUUAAUCUGGAUCCUCCAGCCACUAAGUUUAAAGCUGAGAUUGUACCUGUAUGUUUGAUUCCAAAGACCUUGUCCUCCAGGGCCCCCAGCCUGGGGUUCAUGAAAGGCAAUCUGUGAGCAGCAGGAAGUCAUCCAAGGUCUUUGGGUAGUCAGUCAGUCAGCAGUUUGAGAUUUCCUUGUGUGGAAUUCCAAAUAGCACCUGGGGGUGUAAGUGGCUCAAACCAAGACUGAAUGAUGGUUUUGUUUUUGUUCCUUUAUUUUCAGGGACCUAUUUACGUACCUAAUAAUUGGAGGAGAGAAAUAAAAAUGAAUUAAGGAAAUGUCUUCAGGAAACUAAGAGAAACUAAGUUUCUCUCUGAUGAAGCUCUUAAGUUGAAGAAAAUAAAAAGGCCCUGGAAAACAAGUGUAAUGUGUUGACGUCUGUGAAAGCAACCAAGGAAGCAAAAGUCAAACAGCUGAAGGAGAAAGCAGGCAUCCUUGAAGAAUUCUAUGAACAAAAGUGGCUACAGAAGAGAAGCUUAAAAUGACACAGUGUGAACUGGCAGCAAAGAAGAAUCAGCUGGCAGCUGCAGGGAAAAUUUGAAAAAAGCUACAGAAGAAAACAAGUACAAGCAACAAAUUGAACAAACAAGAGAACAGCUGCAACAGGCAGAGCUCACCUUCAGACAUCAGAUCACAGUUUAUGAGAAGAAUGCUCAGGACAACUGGGUGUUUUCUUUUUUCCUCCUCUCUCUCUUUGGUGCACAGCCUGGCACAACUGAAGGUGGGUAUGUUUUUCUCCCCCAUAUCAAGAUUCAAGUCUGGGAGAGGGAGAUGACAGAGCAGAGCAGGGAGGUCACCUACUUGAAAUACAGGUAUGGUAGUUUGACUUGUGUUUUUAUGGAUGUUUCCAGGGAUGAUGCCUGUGCUGUUAUCUAGUAGAGUACGUGGUGUUGCAACUCUUACAGAAGUCCAUUCUUUUUCUUUAUCCAAGACUGGAUGUGAUGGAAGGAAAGAGGCUGUCUGUGGGAUGCCCGAGGCAGAAACCAAUGCCUGGAAGACUGCUGUGCAGCCUGUUCCUGUGGGUGAUCAUCAUGUGGCCUGAAAAGAAUCACAAGCACUAAGUACAGAAGGGCCUUUAGCAGAUUCAGAAACUGUGAGUUACAGCAGUUCUGACUGUACCAAGAAUGAAGACAAGGACAAGGGCAGCGUGGAUCCAUGGAGACCUCCUCCAUUAACUGGAAGAUUUUGCAUGCCCUACUCUAGAGGUAGCCCCAUGGACUAUUAGGCACAUCCACCUCCUGAAGCUUAGUGGCCCUGUCGAUCCCCUGAACCCCUCCAUCUGCAACACUUGGGCCUUUAGCAGAUCCAGAAGCAGGGUGUCACUCCCGAGAGUGACAACAACACUGACUCUACCAAAACUGCCAAGACGCACAAGGCCAUUAUGUAUGCAAGAGGGCCUGGUCCUGUCCCUGGGUCGCCUUGCAGGCCCUACCCCAUGGACUGCUCUUCAUCACCAGUCACAGGCUAUAUGGGCCACCUCCCCCUCCUCCAUCAGCUCCUACUCCAUUUGGUAAGAUGACCUGACCUGGAUGAGUGACUGGUAAACCACAUGCAUCUUCUUCAUGAAAGACUUGGUGGGAAUGAUGUAAUGAUGGUUCUGAGUCUUGGCAAUCCAACUGUGAACGUGGCUGAGGACACUGUAACAUAUCUCAAGUUUCUCAGGACAUACAUAUAAUGGGCUAUGUCAUUUCCCUGUAAUGCGGUGAGCUAUAGGUUUCUCUUGUCAAAAAGAAAGAAGAUUUUUACACAAAGGUAGACAUAUCAGCAGUACUAGUGUGCAUUUUGGAGACACAAUGUUUUGGGUUCUGUAAAGAAUGGGGUGCACCACUAACUUUUAGUGCUCAUGCGUCCUUUGUGAAAGAGUGAUACGUGCAUUAAGGGACACAGACCUUGUGAUCAGCAUAAUGGAAGCAUCAGUGAAGGAUCCAGUGCUGAAAUGGGGGAAACUUGAAUCACACAGGAAUACAAGGGAAAUUGUGAAUAGAAAGCAGAGUUUGAGGAGGUGCACAGGGGAGGGUGCUGGGGUCAGUGAGAUGCAGUUGGAGGUCAUUUCUGGGCACAGCCUGAGCAGGGAGCAUGGGGUCCACACAGACCUGCUAUGUGGGAUCAUUCUCAGUGCACAAUGCAGUGUUCAUCUCUGAAAUGUCAGUGUUGCCAAAGCGAACCUUGGUAAUUAUCUAAAAAGAUUGCUGUCUCCCUGGGUUUUCUGAACGUUCUGGACUUUGUGGGAAAAUUUCCCUGGAGAUAUGGGAAAUUUAACUUGGUCUUAUGGAAAUGCUUGUCUGCCCAAGUUCAUAUCCCUCAGUGACACUGAAAGUGGAGAAGAUCUAGAUCAGCUGAGUGCCUGCACUGGCCUUCACCCUGGGUCAACCUACAGUUGAGGGUUGGCCAGAAGCCGCCCCUGCUGGACCCCUGUCAUCAACCGGACUACAGCUUUCCAUUUCCUCAAAUUUCUUUCACAAUAUUCUGAGGCUUUGCCUGUGUUCUUGCUGGCUCAGCCCUAAUACCGGUUCUCAGUGGGACCUACACAGAACCUCAGCUGUGUCAUCUGUGAAAAAAUAUUUGUUUUGAACAACAUGAUGAGAAGAAGACAUUAAAUACAUAAAGCAUCUGCAAAAUGUCUGGGAAGUGUCCACUCACCCUUCUCA